ACGUCGGUUUUCGGUGAGGCCGUGGUAUCACUCCGGUCGAGUACAAAUAACAAAGAUAUGUACUCGUAAAAUAUGUGCUAUGAAUAUAAAGUGUGUUUAAGUUAAGUUUACUAAAGAAUUUUCCUCAAACAAAACCUGUUUUGAAUUUUAUAAUAGUAAUUAUAUAGUUCAUACUUCAGUAACUUUAGUACGAGUUUGCUUUACGUUUAAAAUAAUCGAAACGAGACCGCGUUCGGCGCUCUGAUUGGUUGGUUUUUUUGAGCUGGCUCUAUUGUUCUACCGUAAACAGUUGUGAGAUCCAUGUAAUACCAAGUCGUAUUUUUUAGUCCCUACUUAAGGGACCUUUUGUCUUAAGUUAUUAUGUCUUCAAAGCCCGAAUGAAUAGGUUGCUUAUGGGCAGACGUGCUCCACCGUAGGCCGCAUCAUCACUUACCAUCAGGUGAGAUAGCGGCCAAACGUCGACCCAAU